GGUUAAGCGACUAAGCGUACACGGUGGAUGCCCUGGCAGUCAGAGGCGAUGAAGGACGUGCUAAUCUGCGAUAAGCGUCGGUAAGGUGAUAUGAACCGUUAUAACCGGCGAUUUCCGAAUGGGGAAACCCAGUGUGUUUCGACACACUAUCAUUAACUGAAUCCAUAGGUUAAUGAGGCGAACCGGGGG
rnacentral:rRNA from 1 species